rnacentral:rRNA from 1 species
GACGAACGCUGGCGGCGUGCUUAACACAUGCAAGUCGAACGGAAAGGCCCUGCUUUUGUGGGGUGCUCGAGUGGCGAACGGGUGAGUAACACGUGAGUAACCUGCCCUUGACUUUGGGAUAACUUCAGGAAACUGGGGCUAAUACCGGAUAGGAUCUCCUGCUGCAUGUUGGGGGUUGGUAAGUUUCGGCGGUGGGGGAUGGACUCGCGGCUUAUCAGCUUGUUGGUGGGGUAGUGGCUUACCAAGGCUUUGACGGGUAGCCGGCCUGAGAGGGUGAACAGCCACAUUGGGACUGAGAUACGGACCAGACUCCUACGGGAGGCAGCAGUGGGGAAUAUUGCACAAUGGGGGGAAGCCUGAUGCAGCAACGCCGCGUGCGGGAUGACGGCUUUCGGGUUGUAAACCGAUUUCGCCUGUGACGAAGAGUGAGUGACGGUAAUGGGUAAAGAAGCACCGGCUAACUACGUG